UGGGGAAUUUUGCGCAAUGGGGGAAACCCUGACGCAGCAACGCCGCGUGAGCGAAGAAGGCCUUCGGGUCGUAAAGCUCUGUCUUAGGGGAAGAAAUCGACGGUACC
rnacentral:rRNA from 1 species